rnacentral:rRNA from 1 species
GACGAACGCUGGCGGCGUGCCUAAUACAUGCAAGUCGAACGAACGGAUAAAGAGCUUGCUCUUUGAAGUUAGUGGCGGACGGGUGAGUAACACGUGGGUAACCUGCCUCACAGCUGGGGAUAACAUCGAGAAAUCGAUGCUAAUACCGAAUGUGCUGAACAUCAUAAGAUGUUCAAGUGAAGGACGGUUUCGGCUGUCACUGUGAGAUGGACCCGCGCUGGAUUAGCUAGUUGGUAAGGUAAUGGCUUACCAAGGCGACGAUCCAUAGCCGACCUGAGAGGGUGAUCGGCCACAUUGGGACUGAGACAC